AUGCCAUAAACGACGAAGAAGAAGAAGAAAAAGAAGUCCAUCAUGGAACAAUUAUACGAGUUUCCUGUGUUAAUUACAGAAACUAAUGAAGUAUUUACAUUAUUCCUAAAUGAAGAGGAUAUAGAGAAAGCAAAUCAUGGUUAUAUAAAUAUAUUAUAUUUGGAUUUAUUUAAUGUAUAGGUUAUAUGUUAGUUGUGUUAUUUUACUUUAAUAACUAUUAUGUUAUUUUUUAUAAACCCAAAAUUUGUGGAGGAUCUUGUUACGAAGGAACAAGGAAAUAAAAUCAAGCCGGUAGCUGACGUGAAAGAUUUAACAAAUAAAAAUGUUGAAAAAAUAAUGCUGAAAAGUCAAUAUUUUCAUGGCCAGACAAAGCGGUGCUUUUAUUAAUUGAAGUGUAUAGAGAAAGGGAGGAAGAGUUCUCAAAUAGUUUCAAGCACAAUAACAAAAUUUGGACUGAAAUUGCUGUUGAGAUGAACAAAGUCAAUCCAGCUUACAAAAUAACAGCACAGCAAUGUACAUCAAAAAUGUCUGGCUUGAAGCGAACUUACAAAAAUAUUGUUGACAUAAAUAAAAAAAGCGGCAAUAAUAGAAAUUCAUGAGCAUUUUUCUCAGUUAUGGAUUCAUUAUUUGGCGAUAAAGCGUCCAUUAAGCCUCCUGCAAUUGCCACAAGUGAUGGUCCAUUGAAUCCAAAUCAGGAAAAAUCGUGUAAUGAUGAGAUUUCAUCUUCUAAAUUAAAAACAGUAUAUAUGAUGUUGCAGCAUUGUGAGGGCUCUCACGUCCCACGAAUUGGCAGCUCUGUCUGACGUGGUUCCCAUAUCUCACAGAUACUUUGUACGCACACGCAAACGACAGAAAACGCACUUCUGAGUCUCAGUGUGUGUGAGCUUUACCCUUCCCUUCUUGGACGAUCAGUCUAGAUAUACUAUGUCUAUGGUAGCGAACAGAUACGAGCAUUUAUUUGUCGUGUAUGUGAGCAUGUGGGCAUCGACGAGGUAUUGUUAAAAACGGCCGACCAAAGGCAGCUUUUCGUAACUGUCAAGUGGACCCGGAGAUAAUUGAAGAAUGAUGACAUUUUCAACCAUUUUAGUUUCAUGGAGAAUAGUAAACACGAUCCUCAUACAAUACGUACCAUCCAAAAUCCGGACAUAAGAGAUCUUAAAGAUGUCUUACGCCCGUUCAUAGUCUUUUCUUGAAAACGAGGCUUCCUUGUUUCUGUCUUUAUCUCACGUACAUACUAUGUUUUACUAUACACAAAACAAAGACAGACAGGAACAAGAAAUCCUCAUUUCUUAAGGAAGGACUAUGAAUACGGGUAUUAGAGAUGUCUUUAGAAUACUUUAGAUAAACGUGUCUAAAAUACAAUAUGUCUUAAUGAUGUUUUAUAUACCGAUUUUUGAAUGAGCAUGUUGUCUGAGGAUUGUUAUUCUCCGUACAGCCAAAACUGCAAUCGAAAUGUCAUAUUAUUUAAUUAUCUCCGAGCCUACUUAACACUUGCGAAAAUUUGUCUUUGGACGGCCAUUUUUAACAAAAUCUUGUCAGUGUGGGCGUGCAUGACAAUUCUCAAUAUAGAGAUAUCGCGUACGCUGUUUACGUAAAAUAUCAAUUAUACAUAUUUUUAAUGUUUUAUUUUAUUGUAUCUUUGUCAAUUUUAUUUGUUUUUAGAACUCAAAAUGCCUAAGCGUAAAUGCUCAUUUAAUAACGAUUUGCAACGUAAACUUCCAAUGAU